rnacentral:rRNA from 1 species
GUGGACGCCAGUCUGCGUGGAGCCGGCCUUGAAAUACCACCCUUUAAUGUUUGAUGUUCUAACGUGGACCCGUAAUCCGGGUUGCGGACAGUGUCUGGUGGGUAGUUUGACUGGGGCGGUCUCCUCCUAAAGAGUAACGGAGGAGCACGAAGGUUGGCUAAUCCUGGUCGGACAUCAGGAGGUUAGUGCAAUGGCAUAAGCCAGCUUGACUGCGAGCGUGACGGCGCGAGCAGGUGCGAAAGCAGGUCAUAGUGAUCCGGUGGUUCUGAAUGGAAGGGCCAUCGCUCAACGGAUAAAAGGUACUCCGGGGAUAACAGGCUGAUACCGCCCAAGAGUUCAUAUCGACGGCGGUGUUUGGCACCUCGAUGUCGGCUCAUCACAUCCUGGGGCUGAAGUAGGUCCCAAGGGUAUGGCUGUUCGCCAUUUAAAGUGGUACGCGAGCUGGGUUUAGAACGUCGUGAGACAGUUCGGUCCCUAUCUGCCGUGGGCGCUGGAGAACUGAGGGGGGCUGCUCCUAGUACGAGAGGACCGGAGUGGACGCAUCACUGGUGUUCGGGUUGUCAUGCCAAUGGCACUGCCCGGUAGCUAAAUGCGGAAGAGAUAAGUGCUGAAAGCAUCUAAGCACGAAACUUGCCCCGAGAUGAGU